GUGCUUGCUUCAGCAGCACACAUACUCUAAUUGGAACACUACAGAGAAGAUUAGCUAGCCCCUGCGCAAGGACAACAAGCAAAUUCAUGAAGCAUUCCAUAUUGAA